UGUUGGGGUUGGUGUUGAAUUUUUCACCUUUUACCCUACCAAAUCUCAAAAGUUUAAUUUCUGUCCUGCAGGUCCACGUGGUUUCCAGGAUAUUUCCUCCUUUCCCAGAAGUGCCCUCUAUGUCAUACCCCGUGGGGUGACCUUUAUCACCACCCAUGGGCUUUGGGACACCCCUACCUUCUCUAAACUGGGGUCCUCUGGGACCUCACCUUCCUCCUCCACCAUGUGGAAAGAUGAUAUGACCAGUAUGAGUUGACUUAUAAAGCACGUUUUGUCUUUUACUUGUUAUGUGUUUGGAGAAAUUGCAGUGAUGGCACCACAGGGCUUUCAGGUCUGCCUGAGUGAGGACGUUGUAAUGUUCUUCACGUUUCUCAGGACAUGCAUGAAAUGGGUACUCAUUUCCACAUAGUGAGCUGGGCAACACGUGUCUCUGAUAGAGAAGGAAAGAGGCCUUAUACAUGCUGACAGACAUAGCACUCCCUAGGAUGUAGCUUGUACAGAGACCAUGUGCUGGGCUCUCUGAGGGAUGAAACACACCACUAACAUACUUUCUAGCGAGUUGAGACCUGAGCUGUUCACAGCUGCUUGAUUAGUUACAAAAACACCUGAACCAGGGCUCUGUAAACCUUCCUCAAGAGACAGGAUCAGAUCUCCCUCUUGUCCUCAAGGGUCACCCGAGGUACAUGAAAAACGCUCUGUCCCUGGUAAGGGACCCGAGUGUGAAUGAGUUGAAUAUAAUGAAACAUGUGGUGGAUGGUUUGUUUUUCUUCCACACAGCCUAUGCAAGUCAGAAUCAACCUCCAUCCACGUCCAUCCUUUAUGAGACCUAAGACGUGAUGCAGCUCCCAUGGGAAAUAUCAGGUGUGUCUCUACCAAGGAUGCAGAGAAAGACAAGGUAAAUUCUGUUGCCCUUUUCAGUUGCAAUGCUUUCUGGAAACUUUUAUCUGGCAUUGUCUGGUUUUCUUUGUCCUCUGGUGUCUUUACUGUUUGAUUUACAUCCUCACAAGCCUCCAGGCUUCUCCGAUGUAACAUCAUCAUGUUGGCUAGUGCCUCUGAAUGCCACAGGUACAUGGAGGCUGAGGACCACAUGGCUUUCACUUAGUGUUCGUGGAAAUAACUUGAGGAGGAUGACACUUCACUGCACCCUCAAGUCUUCUGGAGCAUCUGACUCCUUCCACACCUUCUUUACACGGUCUCGUGGAUUGCGGGGUCCCACGACAUCACCUCAUCGAUGCAGUCGAUGGUUUGUUCCAGAUUCAGACUUGUUUCCGGGAAGAAACCCUGACAAAUUCAGAAGAACGGGAGCUGCAUUCCAUUAGGAUGUGAAUACACGAAAUGUUCGUCUCAGGACCUUUUAGAAGAAUGAACUGGGACUCACUUUCCGAGUCCUGCUGGAACCAGAGACCGAGUUUCCAUGUUUUAGCUGUACCUGUGACACAGGACACGAGAGAACUUGCUCAUGUGAACAAUAGUGAAGGACACCAUGGGCACUUGCCACACAGGUUCAUCUCCUAGCCAGAAUCAAGAAAGGAAGACACAGCAGCCACACUGUUCCCACAGAGGUGAGGUCUGGAAGGGAUCACCCAGGCUGGGAGACCUCUGUUUGGAGUGUGCAGUCAUCCUCCUCUCAUUAUUUCCUGAAACUCACGGAAAAACCUUAAGACCACACGAUGAUCACACACAGGAACAGGUUGCACAGCAGAAAUUAGACUGUGGCACAUCACAACGUGCUCCUUACCUCUCCUUGAAGGGUUCUUGCAGUGAUUGGUUUCUGCCUCGUGUAUCCCUCAGGCAGCCUCUUUGGUUCCAUCCCUUCCAGUCUUGGAUACAGAAAAAUAAUGGACUUCUAUAAGAGUUGCAACACCACGUCGUCUACUAGACAACAAACAGUGCAGGCGUCAUCCCUGGAAACACCCAUAAAAACUCGAGUCAAAUGACCACACCUGUAUUUCAAGGUUGCAAAGACGAGGGCCAUGAAAUGGCACUACCACAUUGAUGGGUAUGAUUCAUUGUGUGACACACUGCUUUCCUACAGAUGAUGACACUUGACACCACCCCCGAGGAAUGUUAGCAUGGACAAAGUUUCCACACAGUCUGGCCACUACUUGAGAUCUGCAAAUGUUUAGAAACUUAAUUGUUUUAUUCUUUCUAAACUUACCUUUUUAAUCUAAUACUCUAUGCAUAUGUUGACUUUAAACAUUACAAAAAGAUUAAAAACCAAAAAAUGAACAGUGGUUUCAUGAGCUGC